rnacentral:rRNA from 1 species
GGCGACCGGCGCGACGGGUGAGUAACGCGUAUGCAACCUACCUAUCAGAGGGGAAUAACCCGGCGAAAGUCGGACUAAUACCGCAUAAAACAGGGGCACCGCAUGGUGAUAUUUGUUAAAGAAAUUCGCUGAUAGAUGGGCAUGCGUUCCAUUAGGUAGUUGGUGAGGUAACGGCUCACCAAGCCGACGAUGGAUAGGGGAACUGAGAGGUUGGUCCCCCACACUGGUACUGAGACACGGACCAGACUCCUACGGGAGGCAGCAGUGAGGAAUAUUGGUCAAUGGGCGGGAGCCUGAACCAGCCAAGUCGCGUGAAGGAAGAAGGAUCUAUGGUUCGUAAACUUCUUUUGCAGGGGAAUAAAGUGCAGGACGUGUCCUGUUUUGUAUGUACCCUGAGAAUAAGGAUCGGCUAACUCCGUGCCAGCCGCCGC